rnacentral:rRNA from 1 species
GUGGGGAAUAUUGGACAAUGGGGGGAACCCUGAUCCAGCCAUGCCGCGUGUGUGAAGAAGGCCUUUUGGUUGUAAAGCACUUUAAGUGGGGAGGAGGCUUACCUGGUUAAUACCUGGGCUAAGUGGACGUUACCCACAGAAUAAGCACCGGCUAACUCUGUGCCAGCAGCCGCGGUAAUACAGAGGGUGCGAGCGUUAAUCGGAUUUACUGGGCGUAAAGCGCGCGUAGGUGGUUAAUUAAGUCAAAUGUGAAAUCCCCGAGCUUAACUUGGGAAUUGCAUUCGAUACUGGUUAGCUAGAGUAUGGGAGAGGAUGGUAGAAUUCCAGGUGUAGCGGUGAAAUGCGUAGAGAUCUGGAGGAAUACCGAUGGCGAAGGCAGCCAUCUGGCCUAAUACUGACACUGAGGUGCGAAAGCAUGGGGAGCAAACAGGAUUAGAUACCCCGGUAGUCC